CGCACAGAAGCCCAACGGUCGUCAUCGCGUUUUCGCCCCCGUGCCCAUGCCACACGGGCGCGCGUCACGUGCUUGUCUUCGUGAGCCUCUCUCUCUCUCUGCGUCUGUGCGCGCCGCCGAAGCGUGGUGCUCGAUCCGCCCACACACACAGACCUACACUCUCACCCAAGAGGCAGAGGUGUACAAGGCGCACGCUGACAAGGAGCCCUCAUGGACGUUGCCAUCGCGCAGCUACGUGGGUGCCUCGAAGAGCUUCUCGCCUAUUACCCGCACGUACUGCGCAAUGUGUUCGAUGCAGAGCCCUCACCGCUGGCCGCACCCGAACUGCCCCAGCAGCGACCGCACGACUCCUCGGCGCUAGCGGAUGCGAUUGAGGAUUUCCUGACGGAGCUCACCAGAAUCCUCUCCAUUGGCCUCUGCGAUGACGAUCUCGGACUGUGGUCGGUGCUAGAGCUGCUCGAGUGCGUGCCAGAUCGCAUGCAGGCGGUCGCCGAGGCGACAGCAACAGCAACGGAGACGGCCGCCCUGGGCAAGCACAGAGCGCGAGGGCCGCUAAAACAACUGCAGCGGUUCCGCUUUGCGUCCCAGCUCGUCUACUUGGUGCGGAGCGCGUUUCCUGCUACCGCGCCCGCACUGCGGGCCCGAAUUCUUCUUCGCUUGACACUCAACCAAGGGUGUCUCCUGGCGGCGCUUGAGCUGCUCCGGGAGUGGUGCUGGCCAGAGCUGCUUGCGUUCUACGCUGCUAGUGACGGAGGCCGUAGCAACGGUGCGGCGGGCUCAGCGCCGUCUGUGGCAUUAUUAGUGCAGUCUGACACGGACAGCGACAUGUGGAACUCCUUCGUUGCCGCUAUCGCACCAGUGGCGGGCCCACCAGUGGCUGAGAUCGCAGCCGGUGCGCCGAAGGUGGCUGCCCAGCCCUUUCACCUGCAGCUCCUCGUCCCCGGGCUCGACGAUAGCAGUGCAGCCUCACGCGACUACUACACACAGGUGGAGAACUACGCCUGCGGUCGCCAGCCCACGCGGCCGUCCGCACUGGCAUGCUAUCGCGCUGCUCUCCGGCAGCAUUCCAGUUCAGCGAGGAAGGACGACCGAUCUUUUCUUGCUGCCUCCUCAGGCGAAGGCGCCGCGUCCUCUCCGCAGCUCAGCACUCACCCCGCCGAGCAGCUCGUUCUGCGAGUGGAGUCGCUGCCGGUCGACCGUCGCACCGCAUUAGCAAAGGGAGCAGCGCCUGUGUCGAGAGGCAAUGUGUCCUACGGCUCCUCGUCCACCUUGUCAUCACGCCCCAUGACCCAGGAGUCGCUCUCUUCCGUGCACCGGGAAAGACUCCGAGGCGCGAAGAAGCGGCGGCGACGGCAUCCCUCGCUCUCCACAGCGGAGGCAGUAGCGCAUGACAAGGACGCAGCGGGGUCGCCAACGCCGGAGGGCAAACCAAGCAACAUCACAAGCGACAACACCGGUAGCGCCGCUGAGGCGGCGCCGCAUACAUCAACGGUGGUGGCAGAGGUGAGGGAGUGCCAAGGUGCUCCGGGGGCGGGAGAAAAAGCAGCACUCCCAUACAGGAAGGAUUGUGCUUUUCAGUGUGAUGACCCGCAGGUGGCACCGACGCUGGAUGAGGCUGGGGCUGCUCAAGCAGCGAGUAGGGCCCUCGAUACCGUCUCGACAGACUCACCUGCCGCCGCCUCUCACCGCUUAUCUCCAGCGCUGCACGCGGCUGAAUCGUCUAACCGGACUCUCGAUUCCAUGUCUACCCUCGCGCUUUCUCCGGAGCUACGCAACCUCCGGCACCGCUUGUGGCUGUGCUGGCUGGCUGUCGUGACGCACGCUGAGUCUGAGGAGCGUAUACGUAUCGCCGUGCAUGAUGUGGAUGCCAACACCUCGUAGAGGGGGGCUGACCCGAUGAC
rnacentral:misc_RNA from 1 species